UGGAGCUGAAGUCAGUCGAAGAUACCAGCUGGCUGCAACUGUUUAUUAAAAACACAGCACUGUGCAAACACGAAAGUGGACGUAUACGGUGUGACGCCUGCCCGGUGCCGGAAGGUUAAUUGAUGGGGUCAGCGCAAGCGAAGCUCCUGAUCGAAGCCCCGGUAAACGGCGGCCGUAACUAUAACGGUCCUAAGGUAGCGAAAUUCCUUGUCGGGUAAGUUCCGACCUGCACGAAUGGCGUAAUGAUGGCCAGGCUGUCUCCACCCGAGACUCAGUGAAAUUGAACUCGCUGUGAAGAUGCAGUGUACCCGCGGCAAGACGGAAAGACCCCGUGAACCUUUACUAUAGCUUGACACUGAACAUUGAGCCUUGAUGUGUAGGAUAGGUGGGAGGCUUUGAAGUGUGGACGCCAGUCUACAUGGAGCCGACCUUGAAAUACCACCCUUUAAUGUUUGAUGUUCUAACGUGGACCCGUGAUCCGGGUUGCGGACAGUGUCUGGUGGGUAGUUUGACUGGGGCGGUCUCCUCCUAAAGAGUAACGGAGGAGCACGAAGGUUGGCUAAUCCUGGUCGGACAUCAGGAGGUUAGUGCAAUGGCAUAAGCCAGCUUGACUGCGAGCGUGACGGCGCGAGCAGGUGCGAAAGCAGGUCAUAGUGAUCCGGUGGUUCUGAAUGGAAGGGCCAUCGCUCAACGGAUAAAAGGUACUCCGGGGAUAACAGGCUGAUACCGCCCAAGAGUUCAUAUCGACGGCGGUGUUUGGCACCUCGAUGUCGGCUCAUCACAUCCUGGGGCUGAAGUAGGUCCCAAGGGUAUGGCUGUUCGCCAUUUAAAGUGGUACGCGAGCUGGGUUUAGAACGUCGUGAGACAGUUCGGUCCCUAUCUGCCGUGGGCGCUGGAGAACUGAGGGGGGCUGCUCCUAGUACGAGAGGACCGGAGUGGACGCAUCACUGGUGUUCGGGUUGUCAUGCCAAUGGCACUGCCCGGUAGCUAAAUGCGGAAGAGAUAAGUGCUGAAAGCAUCUAAGCACGAAACUUGCCCCGAGAUGAGUUCUCCCUGAGACUUUAGGUCUCCUGAAGGAACGUUGAAGACGACGACGUUGAUAGGCCGGGUGUGUAAGCGCAGCGAUGCGUUGAGCUAACCGGUACUAAUGAACCGUGAGGCUUAACCUUACAACGCCGAAG
rnacentral:rRNA from 1 species